rnacentral:misc_RNA from 1 species
UGUGGGAGCGAGCCUGCUCGCGAUAGCGUCGGAUCAGCUGCACCCAUGUUGCCGAUAGACCGCUAUCGCGAGCAGGCUCGCUCCCACA